rnacentral:rRNA from 1 species
UCCAGAGGGUGCGAGCGUUAAUCGGAAUUACUGGGCGUAAAGCGCGCGUAGGCGGCUUUGCAAGUCGGGUGUGAAAUCCCCAGGCUUAACCUGGGAACUGCAUUCGAGACUGCAUUGCUAGAGUAUGGGAGAGGGAAGUGGAAUUUCCGGUGUAGCGGUGAAAUGCGUAGAUAUCGGAAGGAACAUCAGUGGCGAAAGCGACUUCCUGGACCAAUACUGACGCUCAUGUGCGAAAGCGUGGGGAGCGAACAGG